ensembl:lncRNA
CGCAAGGAGAAUUGGGGCUCCUCUUAAUGGGAGUCCUAGGAGACAGAUGUGUGACUGCGCUGGUCGAGGAAGCUUGCUCCCUGAAGGGGGAGGGGGCUUUGUGCUAGUGAGAAACUUAGAAGGAUAAGAGAGAGGAGGACAGGAAGAUGGGAAAAGGAGAGCCUGGAGAGAGAGCAAAUGUUCCAGGACAAAUCAUUUUGGAAAACGUGGUGCCUGCCAGCCAGCCAGGAAGUUCAUGUUGAGGACCAUUUUCUGUACAGGGUAGCCAUUCACCUUGGCUUUGACAAGGCUGGAAAAGAGACGAUGGAACUGAUGCCCGGGGCCCACAUCAUGCUAAUAUUCUUUAAAAAUGCCCAUUUGACUGUAGAGAGAAAACAUCAAUCCUAAUGAACUUUUCAAACUUCUCCAUGAACAAUAUAAAUAAAGCUAGGUUCCAGCUGUAAGCAAAACGUGAGUGUGGCUAAGAGUGCCAAGCUGGACGGAGAAGUGCAACACGAGCAUCAGCAGUUCUGCGUAAUCACCCUCUGAACCUAAAAAUGCAGGGGUUAAGAAUGCUGUUUGUAGAGCCAGUGAGAGCCAAGGUCUUGGAAGAGUGACUGCCCAGUAGGAGCUGUGUCUGUCAAAGCUUGGGACCUCUCUCUCGGUGGUGGUGAAGUAGGGAGGCAACAGAAGGAAUAAAUACUCUGAG